AUUUUUUUAUAUUUCUUUUAUGUAUGUUAAUGAUAUAGUUUGCCAUAAUUAAAAAAAAAAAAAAAACAGACCAUUUAGCUGUACAUAUAAGUAUAACAAAAAAAAAAAUAGCAUUAAUUUUAUUAUCACAUGUAAGUAUAUUUACAUAUAUUAUGUUAAAAUUUUCGACUUAUUUAACAUGUUUUUUACAUUUUGUUAAAAAAAUAAGGUUAUGACACAGUAAACUUGGGUAUGGAUCUAGCUAUUCCCGAUACAAAUAUAGCUUUUGCGACAUAUAUAGAUAUACCUGUCUUGGAGGAUUUUAAAUGGGAUGGCAUAGUAGGUUUAGGAUUCGAAAAUGAAGACUCGAAGAAGCGCGGAAUUAAACCUUUCUUCGAUCACAUAAAAGAUAGCAACAUAUUAACUAAUAAAAAUUACAAGAAUAUGUUUGGAUAUUAUUUGACAGAUACUGGUGGAUUUAUUACAAUUGGAGGAAUAGAUAACCGCUUAAAAAGAACACCGGAUGAUGAAAUAUAGUAAGAGCCAUAUAUAUAUAUAUAUAUAUACACCUAUGAUCUUUCCUUGGUUUUAUUAAACAUUUUUUUAUUUUUUCACCUUCUCUCCA
rnacentral:lncRNA from 1 species